AUUGAACGCUGGCGGCAUGCCUUACACAUGCAAGUCGAACGGUAACAGGGAGCUUGCUCCGCUGACGAGUGGCGAACGGGUGAGUAAUGUAUCGGAACGUACCAUUCAGUGGGGGAUAACGUAGCGAAAGUUACGCUAAUACCGCAUAUUCUGUGAGCAGGAAAGCAGGGGAUCGCAAGACCUUGCGCUGAUUGAGCGGCCGAUAUCAGAUUAGCUAGUUGGUGAGGUAAAGGCUCACCAAGGCGACGAUCUGUAGCGGGUCUGAGAGGAUGAUCCGCCACACUGGAACUGAGACACGGUCCAGACUCCUACGGGAGGCAGCAGUGGGGAAUUUUGGACAAUGGGGGCAACCCUGAUCCAGCCAUGCCGCGUGAGUGAAGAAGGCCUUCGGUUGUAAGACUCUUUCGGUCCGGGAAAAAGUACGCAUCAGUUAAUAACCUGGUGUGGAGUGAUGGUACCGGAAGUAAGAAGACACCGGCUAACUACGUAG
rnacentral:rRNA from 1 species